rnacentral:rRNA from 1 species
AGGGUUUGAUCAUGGCUCAGAACGAACGCUGGCGGCAGGCCUAACACAUGCAAGUCGAGCGCACCUUCGGGUGAGCGGCGGACGGGUGAGUAACGCGUGGGAAUAUGCCCUUUGGUACGGAAUAGUCCUGGGAAACUGGGGGUAAUACCGUAUGCGCCCUUCGGGGGAAAGAUUUAUCGCCAAAGGAUUAGCCCGCGUUGGAUUAGGUAGUCGGUGGGGUAAUGGCCUACCAAGCCGACGAUCCAUAGCUGGUUUGAGAGGAUGAUCAGCCGCACUGGGACUGAGACACGGCCCAGACUCCUACGGGAGGCAGCAGUGGGGAAUCUUAGACAAUGGGGGCAACCCUGAUCUAGCCAUGCCGCGUGAGUGAUGAAGGCCCUAGGGUUGUAAAGCUCUUUCAGCUGGGAAGAUAAUGACAGUAGCGGAAGAAGAAGCUCCGGCUAAAUUCGUGCCAGCCGCCGCGGUAAUAC